GCUAGAGUUCAUUUCUCACUUGACCCUCAUGGGAAUUGUGUUCCACAUGAGCUGUUACAGUCAAUGGCUGUGACUCCUUCAUGUGAGUUAGCCUCCAGUGGUAGCUAAAUAUGGACUGGUAGCAACUGGGUUAAAAUUUGUUCCAAUUUAGAAAUCUGAAAGGCUGCUGUGAACAAAAUCUGUGCAAUUUGUAUAUACAGGUGCAAUUGGCAACACUGUGCUCAUAUUAGACAGAUUAGAGGGCUGGGCUCCGGUUGGAAUGGCAAUGGGUUGUAUUUUCAGUUUCCCACUUUUCCCACAGAAAUUCAAACCUUGAAGUGCAACCAGAUCCUCCCAGGAAUCAAGCAAAGACCUGCAACGUCCUAUGAAGCAAGACCCAUUGAUGCUGCUAUUGCCAUGCUAAGGAAGUGCAAUGGUUGAGUUUCUCUCGACUGUUUCUUAUCCAAACUCCAAGGGCAACUCCUGUCCUCCACUCAGUGCCUUUGAACAGCAAUGCAACUUAGAACGAGAAUAGAACAGUGUAGAUAGAGGAAAUUUAACAUGCAUUAUCCCAGACUAUACUGGGAGUGUUUCAGUGCACUGCUUUCUACCUUUAUGCGACUCUGAAGCUAGCAGUAUUUUUAAAUAAAUGAUUUUGUAAGGAAGGUUGAUAGAAAAUAACACUGUUCAAAUAUCUUACAGGUGCCAUCAAAGAUACUUGUCAAGCUUUUGAUCAUAAAAUUAGAAGCAUUUCUUCCAUUGGCAACUGAUUACUGUAUUUUUUUAACAAAAAAACCUUUAACCUAGAUGAUUUUGUAAGAAAUAAUGAUUUUUUUAAAAAAAAAUGUCGAUUUCACGAACAACUAAGAAAACGGAUUAUUAGAUGGCAAAACUUUGGUAUCAACUGGGUUUUACAACAGUUUUGAUUUAUCUACCUCGUGGUGGUUUGCAGGUCAAACCUUCUGAUGGCUGAAACCACUGACUGAUUGCAUUAAUCUCAACACGCACUUUUAUGUACACCUUGCACUAUGAAAUUUAAUAGAUUUCUCUCAUAUUUCUGUUACAACAAUAUUUUUUACUACUUUUGAAAUAAUUUGUGGUUUUAUUUUCUAUGAUCAGUUUUAAUAUUGUAUAAUGUGUGUGUGUGUGUGUGUGAAAUUAUGUUUUAACAUUUUUAAUUGUGUUCUAAUCAUUUUAGUUUGGUUUACAUGUGGGAUUUUAUUUGUUUUUGCUCUGUUUUGUAUUAAACUUUAAUAUGGAGUGUGACGAGCUUUUUCAGGAAGAUAUCUGAAGCUGAACUCUACAAUUGUGUGUUCGUUUUUUAGAUUUACGACUGCUAAAUAAAAUAGUUUUAAGACA